rnacentral:rRNA from 1 species
AUUGAACGCUGGCGGCAGGCCUAACACAUGCAAGUCGAGCGGAGCGGCGGACGGGUGCGUAAUGCCUAGGAAUCUGCCUGGUAGUGGGGGAUAACGUCCGGAAACGGGCGCUAAUACUGCAUACUAUCAGAUGAGCCUAGGUCGGAUUAGCUAGUUGGUGGGGUAAGGGCCUACCAGGGCGACGAUCCGUAACUGGUCUGAGGGGAUGAUCAGGCAAACUGGAACGGAGAAACGGUCCAGACUCCUACGGAGGGCAGCGGUGGGAAAUAUGGGACAAUGGGCGAAAGCCGAAGCCAGCCAGGCGGGGUGUUUGAAGAGGUUCUUCGGUUUGUAAAGCACUUUAAGUUGGGAGGCGUUACCAACAGAAUAGGCACCGGCUAACUCCGUGCCAGCGGCCGCGUAAUAC